rnacentral:rRNA from 1 species
GACGAACGCUGGCGGCGUGCUUAACACAUGCAAGUCGAACGGAAAGGCCCUGCUUUUGUGGGGUGCUCGAGUGGCGAACGGGUGAGUAACACGUGAGUAACCUGCCCUUGACUUUGGGAUAACUUCAGGAAACUGGGGCUAAUACCGGAUAGGAGCUCCUGCUGCAUGGUGGGGGUUGGAAAGUUUCGGCGGUUGGGGAUGGACUCGCGGCUUAUCAGCUUGUUGGUGGGGUAGUGGCUUACCAAGGCUUUGACGGGUAGCCGGCCUGAGAGGGUGACCGGCCACAUUGGGACUGAGAUACGGCCCAGACUCCUACGGAAGGCAGCAGUGGGGAAUAUUGCACAGUGGGCGGAAGCCUGAUGCAGCAACGCCGCGUGCGGGAUGACGGCCUUCGGGUUGUAAACCGCUUUCGCCUGUGACGAAGCGUGAGUGACGGUAAUGGGUAAAGAAGCACCGGCUAACUACGUG